rnacentral:misc_RNA from 1 species
GAUGAAGAACGUAGCGAAAUGCGAUAAGUAGUGUGAAUUGCAGAAUUCAGUGAAUCAUCGAAUCUUUGAACGCACAUUGCGCCCCUUGGUAUUCCAUGGGGCAUGCUUGUUCGAGCGUCAUUUGUACCUUCAAGCUUUGCUUGGUGUUGGGUGUUUGUCUCGCCUCCGCGUGUAGACUCGCCUCAAAACAAUUGGCAGCCGGCGUAUUGAUUUCGGAGCGCAGUACAUCUCGCGCUUUGCACUCACAACGACGACGUCCAAAAGUACAUUUUUACACUCUUGACCUCGGAUCAGGUAGGGAUACCCGCUGAACUUAAGCAUAUCAAUAAGCGGAGGA